rnacentral:rRNA from 1 species
GAGUUUGUAUCAUGGCUCAGGAUGAACGCUAGCUACAGGCUUAACACAUGCAAGUCGAGGGGAAACGACAUCGAAAGCUUGCUUUUGAUGGGCGUCGACCGGCGCACGGGUGAGUAACGCGUAUCCAACCUGCCCACCACUUGGGGAUAACCUUGCGAAAGUAAGACUAAUACCCAAUGACGUCUCUAGAAGACAUCUGAAAAGNGAUUAAAGAUUUAUCGGUGAUGGAUGGGGAUGCGUCUGAUUAGCUUGUUGGCGGGGUAACGGCCACCAAGGCGACGAUCAGUAGGGGUUCUGAGAGGAAGGUCCCCCACAUUGGAACUGAGACACGGUCCAAACUCCUACGGGAGGCA